rnacentral:rRNA from 1 species
GACGAACGCUGGCGGCGUGCUUAACACAUGCAAGUCGAACGGAAAGGCCCUGCUUUUGUGGGGUGCUCGAGUGGCGAACGGGUGAGUAACACAUGAGUAACCUGCCCUUGACUUUGGGAUAACUUCAGGAAACUGGGGCUAAUACCGGAUAGGAGCUCCUGCUGCAUGGUGGGGGUUGGAAAGUUUCGGCGGUUGGGGAUGGACUCGCGGCUUAUCAGCUUGUUGGUGGGGUAGUGGCUUACCAAGGCUUUGACGGGUAGCCGGCCUGAGAGGGUGACCGGCCACAUUGGGACUAAGGUACGGCCCAGACUCCUACGGGAGGCAGCAGUGGGGAAUAUUGCACAAUGGGCGGAAGCCUGAUGCAGCAACGCCGCGUGCGGGAUGACGGCCUUCGGGUUGUAAACCGCUUUCGCCUGUGACGAAGCGUGAGUGACGGUAAUGGGUAAAGAAGCACCGGCUAACUACGUG